GUGUCAGCAGCCGCGGUAAUACGUAGGGUGCGAGCGUUAAUCGGAAUUACUGGGCGUAAAGCGUGCGCAGGCGGUUUUGUAAGUCGGAUGUGAAAUCCCCGGGCUCAACCUGGGAACUGCGUUCGAAACUGCAAGGCUAGAGUGUGUCAGAGGGGGGUAGAAUUCCACGUGUAGCAGUGAAAUGCGUAGAGAUGUGGAGGAAUACCAAUGGCGAAGGCAGCCCCCUGGGAUAACACUGACGCUCAUGCACGAAAGCGUGGGGAGCAAACAGGAUUAGAUACCCUGGUAGUCCACGCCCUAAACGAUGUCAACUAGUUGUUGGUAGAGUAAAAUCUAUGAGUAACGUAGCUAACGCGUGAAGUUGACCGCCUGGGGAGUACGGUCGCAAGAUUAAAACUCAAAUGAAUUGACGGGG
rnacentral:rRNA from 1 species